GCUUCUCGCUGGAAAAUCACUCGCUGCUGACCAUCCAGGCAGCUUUUUCCCCAAAUACACAUAACAGUUAGGAAAGCUGCAAGUUUUCGCAGUUGGCCAAAAACGUCCAGUUUCAGCGCCGAGCCAGAAAAUUCCUGCGAAAGGCUGUCGUGGCAAGUGUUACCCGCACACCAACACACGCAUACACAUCAUCCAGUUCCAGAUCCAGCCAAUCCCCCCGUGGAGUGGAGUGAGUUUUCAUUGACGACGACUGAGGGGGCGACAAAAGCUCUGGCGGAAGAGCGACAGAGAGAGCGAGAGCGAAGGCGGCACUGAGAGAGCAAAAACAACGAAAGCAGCAGAGUUCAGCUGCACCAGCACCACCCACCACCACCUAGACACCUACAAGAGACCACCACCCACUGACCACCUUCAUCCCGACCUGCGGCAGUGAAAGCAGCAGCGAAAGAGGCCAAGUGCAUAAAGAGCGGAGCACCUUCAUCCUAAUCAUCGCCAGCCGAAUUUGUUGAGGGAACCAACCAACCACACACAUCUACAAGAGCCAUGGCGGACGCUGCACCAGCUGGAGAUGCACCACCAAAUGCCGGAGCUCCGGCCGGAGAGGGAGGCGAUGGCGAGAUUGUGGGCGGACCACACAAUCCGCAGCAGAUUGCGGCACAGAAGCGUCUGCAGCAGACACAGGCGCAGGUCGAUGAGGUCGUGGACAUCAUGCGCACGAAUGUGGAGAAGGUGCUGGAGCGCGACAGCAAGCUGUCGGAGCUGGACGAUCGUGCCGAUGCCUUGCAGCAGGGUGCCUCGCAGUUCGAGCAGCAGGCGGGCAAGCUUAAGAGGAAAUUCUGGCUCCAGAACUUGAAGAUGAUGAUCAUUAUGGGCGUGAUUGGCCUGGUUGUCGUGGGCAUUAUUGCAAAACCGUACAUGUCGGAUGAUAAUGCUGCUCCGCAGCCUCCUGCCGUUCAGCAGCAGCAGGUGGCUCCGGGAUCGGCAACUGCACCAGAUUCAGCACCACCACCACCACCACAACUACUACAACAACAAGUACAACCACACCAACAUACACAAAAUCAAAAUCUAAAAUCUGAACCACCGACACUCGAGAAACCAUUGGCCGAGAAAUUGACCGAAUUACCACAGAGUCCGUCGGAUGAAGUGGCGACUGGACAAUAGAAAACCGCUCACGAUCUCUCUUUCGAAAAACCAACCAACCGAACAACAACAACAGAAACUAAUCAGCCAUCGAUUAACCACCAAAAAGCCGCAUCCGUAGAACCAUAGUCAAAAUUAAUCACACUCUCUAUUUGAACCAUUGACAAAAACGAUCUAAUCUGAUCUACACUAUAAACUUGGCCUCAUAGGCGGGGAGCAGCCGCCACAGUACCAGUACCCCCCACAGUACAUGCAGCCAC